GUGAGGAAUAUUGCGCAAUGGAGGCAACUCUGACGCAGCCAUGCCGCGUGCAGGAAGAAGGCGCUACGCGUUGUAAACUGCUUUUAACCGGGAAGAAACCCCAGGACGUGUCCUGGGUUGACGGUACCGGAGGAAUAAGCACCGGCUAACUUCGUGCCAGCAGCCGCGGUAAUACGAAGGGUGCAAGCGUUAUCCGGAUUCAUUGGGUUUAAAGGGUGCGUAGGCGGAGCGUUAAGUCAGUGGUGAAAUCCUGCAGCUUAACUGUAGACUUGCCAUUGAUACUGGCGCUCUUGAGUGCGCUUGAAGUGGGCGGAAUGUGCCGUGUAGCGGUGAAAUGCUUAGAUAUGGCACAGAACACCAAUUGCGAGGGCAGCUCACUAAGGCGAUACUGACGCUGAGGCACGAAAGCGUGGGGAUCGAACAGGAUUAGAAACCCCAGUAGUCC
rnacentral:rRNA from 1 species